GAUGAACGCUGGCGGCGUGCCUAAUACAUGCAAGUCGAGCGAACGGACGAGAAGCUUGCUUCUCUGAUGUUAGCGGCGGACGGGUGAGUAACACGUGGAUAACCUACCUAUAAGACUGAGAUAACUUCGAGAAACCGGAGCUAAUACCGGAUAAUAUUUUGAACCGUAUGGUUCAAAAUUGAAAGAUGGUCUUGCUGUCACUUAUAGAUGGAUCCGCGCUGCAUUAGCUAGUUGGUAAGGUAACGGCUUACCAAGGCAACGAUGCAUAGCAGACCUGAGAGGGUGGUCGGCCGCACGGGAACUGAGACAAGGUGCAGCAUCCUCCGGGAGGCAACAGUAGGGACCCUUACGCCAUGGGCGAAAGCGUGACGGAGCAAAGCCGGGUGAGUGAUGAAGGUCUUCGGAUCGUAAAACUCUGUUAUUCGGGAAGAACAUAUGUGUAAGUACCUGUGCACAUCUUGACGGUACCUAAUCAGAAAGCCACGGCUAACUACGUG
rnacentral:rRNA from 1 species